GACGAACCGUGCAAACGUUGUUCGGAAUCACUGGGCUUAAAGGGCGCGUAGGCGGGCCAGCCAGUCUGUGGUGAAAGCCUCCAGCUUAACUGGAGAAGUGCCGUGGAUACUGCUGGCCUCGAGGAGGGUAGGGGCAUCUGGAACGGUCGGUGGAGCGGUGAAAUGCGUUGAUAUCGACCGGAACUCCGGUGGCGAAGGCGAGGUGCUGGGCCCUUUCUGACGCUGAGUGCGCGAAAGCCAGGGGAGCAAACGGGG
rnacentral:rRNA from 1 species